GAAUUUUUUAAAGCACAUCGCAGUUUCAAAACGAGUGUCAAAAGCUUUCAGAUUUUAGUGCCAUUGAGGCCGAAUGCGACGCCAGCACCGCGCCGCGCCUGUCCUCAUAAUUUUUUUUUUUCUCCGGCGCGGACGUUCGCGCUCGCCGAGAAAUACUGUAGCGAGCGUGAACCCAAGUCAGCUGAUUUUGGACAGGUUUCGCCAUCUGUCGCCGGCGCGGCGCAACUAUCGCUCCUAUGCGUGAAGUCGGCCAUGUUGACUGUGGAUCGGUGUUGCCGUCGUCGAGCCGCCGUUGAUGAAAAAUCUUUCCCGGCGGUAGCGUAGCACCCAAACGCCAAGCUGGAUAGGCUACCGGAAUACCUCCGCGACACCGUCGACUGGUUUAUGGGAUGACAUUGUCCUGUUCAGCAGCGCUGGGGACGGCUUGCAACAAAUGAUUGAGGACCGAAAUCCUGCAGUGCCCAAACACAGUCCCACAUCAAGAGAAAUUGGAAGAACUUGUUAUCAUUUAUUUCUGACCCUGAAUAGUACGUUAAGAACAACCAAUGAAAUUUUUAUUGUGCUUAA